GCCCAGCAUCUGAGUUAUUUGACUCUCUCACCUGGGCCCAGCUCACAGUGACAUAUCAUGGGACCCAGACCCUUGGUAAUGUCACUCUAUUUUGCCUUGAUACAACCCACAGGGGGCAUUGUGAUAUAUCACUGGGCCAUGCACCCAGGUGAUGUGAGUCUCCUCUUCUUGAUGCUGCCCACAGGUGUACUGUAACAUAUUGUUAGGCCUAGGUUAUGUGACUCUCUUACUUGUGUCCUUUCCACAUGGGUUAUUGUGACACAUGGCUGAGUCCAACACUCAGGUGAUGUAACUUCAUUCUGGACUCUGUCUACAGAAGUCAUUGUAAUAUAUAUCUUCACCAAUCACUGAGGGAAUGUGCCUUUUUUUCCUCCCUUUUCUCUACUCACAGGGGGUACUUUCUGCCCACAAAUGAGAUUGUGGCAUCUAACCCUAAGGUGAUGUUACUUCUUUGCUCUGGCUGUGCCCUUAGAAAACACUGAAACAUACUGCUGGGUCCAGCACCAAGAUUAUGUGAGUUUUCUGCCUGAACCCUGACCACAGGAAGCAUUGUAACAUAUCUCUUGACCCAUUGCAAUUUCUCCUAUGGGCAAAGCCCAGGAGAUGAAACUGUCUACUUCUGCAUUCUGCCCACUCGGAAGAUUGUGACAAUCAUUAGGCCCAGCAACCAGGUAUUGUGUCUGUCCUCUCUGGGCCUCACCCACAGUGAGCCUUGUGACUAAAUCCUGGCCCAGCAUCCAGGUGAUCUUACUCUUCUGCCUGUGUCCUGCUUUUAGGAGGAAAUUGUAACAUCCUUGGCUGAGUGCCCCGUGAUGUGACUCUCCUUCCUGGUCCAUGCCCUCAGGGAAGAUUGUGACAUACCCCUGGUCCAGCACACAGUUAAUGUCACUCUUAUGCUUGCUCUUUACCCACAUAUAUUGUGGCCAAGAACAAAGAUGUAAUGAUGACUGUCAUACCUCGAAGGUGGCAAUAGGAGAGAUAAUGUUGCCCCUAGGUAGGCUUAGGAAAAUAACAAAGUCUUUUUUCUGUACAAAAGUCAUAGAGAAUUACCAAUUUCUCACAUCUAUAAAGACCUAGUAUGUUACAGAGAAUGUCAUAACAAGACCCAGCACACAGGUGAGAUUAUGUUUGUCCUAUGCAGACCCCACUAACCUUCAGAAUUGUUAUCCUCACACAUGGACAGAGCCCACUGGUGAGGUCCUGAAUCACACGUGAAUGCCGUUCACAGUUGGAAUUUUCACUGUCAUAAGUGAACAUCUGGCCACAGUUGGGAUGGUGACUCAUUUCUAAACCCAGCUUGUAGGAAGGUGAGGACUCUCCUAUCUGGACUCAACCAAUUGGAGAGAUGUUGACUGUCAUAUCUGGACGUAGAACCACAGGGAAGACUCUGGAUCUCCUUCCUGUAUGAAGGUCACAGAGGAUCACCAUUCUUGCAUAUUGUAUAAAGCCUUCAGGUGACACAGAGAGUGUCAUAAGAGAACACAGCACACAGGUGGGCUAGUGACUCUCAGACCAAGAUUCAGCACACAUGUGAGGCUGUAACUGCACUGAAAGGACAAGUCUGCAGAAUAAACUGUGGCUGUCUUGCAAAAAUUCUGUCAACCAUUGAGACUGUGACUCACACACUUAGAUCCAACAUCCAAGGCUGGGCGCAGUGGCUCACGCCUGUAAUCCCAGCACUUUGAAAGGCCAACGCAGGCGGAUCACCGGAGGUCAGGAGUUCAAGACCAUCCUGGCCAACAUGGUGAAACCCCCAUCUCUACUAAAAAUACAAAAAUUAGCCGCGCGUGGUGGCAGGCACCUGUAAUCCCAGCUACUCGGGAGGCUGACACAGGAGAAUCGCUUGAACCUGGGAGGCAGAGGUUGCAGUGAGCCGAGAUCACACCAUUGCAUCCCAGCCUGGGGGACAAGAGUGAGACUUCAUCUCAAAAAAACAAAAGCAAAAACAAAAUAGAUAAAUAGAUCCAACAUCCAGGAGGUGUUGACUCUCAUACCUAGAACCUGGACAUGUAUGGAAUUUCUAAUCUCAUUCCUGGACUUUCCUGCAGGUGUGAUUGUGUGCAUCUGCUAAGCACCUUAGUGAUUUGAGUUUCCUGCCUUGACCCAGUCCACAGAUAAGAUUGUGACAUAUCGCUUGACUCUGCACCUUGAAGAUAUGACUUUCUCUUCCAGCCUUGGUGCUGCCCACAGGGUGGAUUAUGACAUACUGCUAAGCCCUGCACUCAGGUUAUGUGACUCUUCUCUUUUGCCCGUGCCCUGAAUAUUUCACAUGUUAGGACAUGUUACUAGGCUGAACACCUAUAAAAUCAGAGGCUCCUGCCUGGGCCCUGUCUAGAGAGGGCCUUGUGACAUAUCUCUUCAUCAAUCACCUAGGAGAUGUGACUCUCCAUUUUUGCCUGCACUCUGCCCACAGGAAAAAUUGUGAAUUGUCA
rnacentral:lncRNA from 1 species